rnacentral:rRNA from 1 species
GACGAACGCUGGCGGCGUGCUAAACACAUGCAAGUCGAACGGAAAGGCCCCCACUUUUUUGGUGGGGGUGCUCGAGUGGCGAACGGGUGAGUAACACGUGGGUGAUCUGCCCUGUACUUCGGGAUAAGCUUGGGAAACUGGGUCUAAUACCGGAUAGGACCAUGGUUUAGUGUCUCAUGGUGGAAAAAUUAUUGUUUUGGUGCAGGAUGAGCUCGCGGCCUAUCAGCUUGUUGGUGGGGUAAUGGCCUACCAAGGCGUCGACGGGUAGCCGGCCUGAGAGGGUGGACGGCCACAUUGGGACUGAGAUACGGCCCAGACUCCUACGGGAGGCAGCAGUGGGGAAUAUUGCACAAUGGGCGCAAGCCUGAUGCAGCGACGCCGCGUGGGGGAUGACGGCCUUCGGGUUGUAAACUCCUUUCGUUAGGGACGAAGCCGCACCUUUUUUGGGUGUGGUGACGGUACCUUUGUUAAGAAGCACCGGCUAACUACGUG